rnacentral:misc_RNA from 1 species
GAAACGCGAUAGUUAAUGUGAAUUGCAGAAUUCAGUGAAUCAUCGAGUCUUUGAACGCACAUUGCGCCCAUAGGUAUUCCUUUGGGCAUGUCUGUUUGAGCGUCAUUACAACCCUCAGCUAACCGCUGGUUUUGAACCUGAACGGGUGACACCGCGCCGGUUUUAAAGUUGUAAGCACUGCUGGCCGCUCUGCCCAACCAGAACAUAGUAAGCACUACUUGUCCGGGUGAAGCUGAACGGUACGGCCUGAACAAAACCUACCCACUCUCAAGGUUUGACCUCAGAUCAGACAAGGAUACCCGCUGAACUUAAGC